AGGCUCUCCCAGGAAUGCUACACAAGUCUUCAGUCUUGAGUGUGAGGAGUCUUACGGGAAGAAGAUAGAGGAAUGUGGCUGAAGAUGCCAACCUGGUCCUGGUGCUGGAGAUCCCUCUCGCUACUGCCAAAAAUUUCAAAUAAUGGAUCAAGAAGAGGCCCAUGAAGACUUUGACUUACCUGGAUCUGUAUGACCCCUAAUCCUGUGGUUAGUGUGGUUUGUAGCAAUACGGCCAGCAGAGAGAACCGGCAGACAGUCAUCAUGAAGAAGGCCAGAGCUCACGAGGAAGGCCCCAGCACUCAUCUGCUGCCUCCUCCAUGGUUAAUCAAUGCCAUGGACCGCAAGUCGUGGACCUGCCUUAGAGAAUUUGGUCUGUUAGAACAAGCUGGACGAUGCAGAGCAGACAGUGAGGGGGUUGUGGGCAGAGCUCUUGCAUUCAUGUUUCCCACUGUGUGCCUGAUGCGCAGCACUUUGGCAGGUAUGUAGUAGAUGUUUAAUGAACACAUAUUUAAUGAGUGUGCCAAAUUAGACUUUGAAUUUCUCUGAUGUACCUUUCAACCAAGCAUCUCAAAAUGUUAAUGUGGCCAUCUCUUUAUUAUUUAAGUUUAGUUUUAACUAGGAAAAUAUCAGUAGGAAAUAUUCAUUUGGGGUCAGUCUUUUUUUUUUUUUUUCCUCCUGUGCUCUCUUAUUUCUAACUAAAUGAAUACUUAGGGAAAACAACUGGUUCUAAUAUCUGUAAGUAGCUUUGUGAAAUUGAGCAAAUCUUGUCUUUGCGAAAAUGGAGCUUCUCACUUAAUACCUUCUCUCCCAUUCUCCCUGGGAUAUUGGGGAAAGAAAGUGAUACAGUAUAUGUAGGAGUUUUCUUUAAAUCGGAGAAGGCAAUGGCAUAGGACCAAGUUUUUUCCAAAGCAUUUAACUUGUGGUUGAUGUGAUUCCAGGGAUAAGGGUCCACUCUGUUGAUCAUAGUGAGAGAGAUGCUAUGAAGGUACUUAGUGACAAAGGUUUGGCCUGCUUCAUAGGUGCUGUUUUAGGGCAACACUUUAUAAUGAGACUUUCUCAGGCAGAAAAGCAAAUAUAGUACAUUGGAAUGGCUACUUUUCUGCCUGAUAUUGAACACCCCCCCUACACACACAUUUCCUUCUCUUCAUGUACCUUUAUCCCCCACUAUGUCAUCAUCAUUAUUCCAAACUGAUGAGUCCAGAUUUCCUCAUCAGGAGAAUGGUGUUCAGCCCUGUCUUGCCCAGGACACUCUGUAGUUUUGCAUCACCUGUAGUUUGAAGAUUUAGAAAUUUAAGCUUCUCUCUGCCUUCAGGGAUGCUGCUUAAAUAAUUACAAAUGUACAACUGUUGUUUUUAAAAGAGUAAUGUGUUCCAAUAAAUCACCACACCUUUGUUUCUUCCUUGUUCUG
rnacentral:lncRNA from 1 species